UCCGGAAGCCGGUAGCCGCCUCAGUCGUCAGACCGGUGCUAGCGACACGGGAGUGGCAAACGCAUCCUCUUGCCGUUCCCGGUGUUUGGGCCUUGCCUGUGACGGUGGGAAAAGAAAAUGGCCUUGCUGUGCUACAACCGGGGCUGCGGUCAGCGCUUCGAUCCUGAGACCAAUUCCGACGAUGCUUGCACAUACCACCCAGGUGUUCCGGUCUUUCACGAUGCAUUAAAGUCCUAGACUUUCCAAGAUUAUUGGAUUUCACAGUCCAGAAGAUUUCAGACAAAAUGCGUAUACAUCAAUACAGGGAUACUAGUUGACCAAGGUUGGUCUUGCUGUAAGAGAAGAACAACUGAUUUUUCUGAUUUCUUAAGCAUUGUAGGCUGUACAAAAGGUAGACAUAAUAGUGAGAAGCCACCUGAGCCAGUCAAACCUGAAGUCAAGACUACUGAGAAGAAGGAGCUAUGUGAAUUAAAACCCAAAUUUCAGGAACACAUCAUUCAAGCCCCUAAGCCAGUAGAAGCAAUAAAAAGACCAAGGUAUACUUUAUACAGUUACAUAUUUUUGUCACACUUGAA
rnacentral:lncRNA from 1 species